CAGUAGCCGCGGGAAUACGAGGGGUGCAAGCGUUAUUCGGAUUGAUUGGGUGUAAAGGGUGUGCAGACGGCUUAUUAAGUCACUUGUUAAAUUCUUCGGCCUAACUGAAGGUCUGCAAGUGAUACUGAUGAGCUAGAGGGUGGAAGAGAGAAGUGGAAUUCCCGGAGUAGCGGUAAAAUGCGUAGAUCUCGAGAGGAACACCAAUGGCGAAGGCAGCUUCUUGGUCCAUUCCUGACGUUCAUACACGAAAGCGUGGGGAGCGAACAGGAUUAGAUACCCCAGUAGUCCCUGUCUCUUAUAA
rnacentral:rRNA from 1 species